rnacentral:rRNA from 1 species
GACGUAGGGCGCGAGCGUUGUCCGGAUGUAUUGGGCGUAAAGAGCUCGUAGGCGGUUUGUCGCGUCUGCCGUGAAAGUCCGGGGCUCAACUCCGGAUCUGCGGUGGGUACGGGCAGACUAGAGUGAUGUAGGGGAGACUGGAAUUCCUGGUGUAGCGGUGAAAUGCGCAGAUAUCAGGAGGAACACCGAUGGCGAAGGCAGGUCUCUGGGCAUUAACUGACGCUGAGGAGCGAAAGCAUGGGGAGCGAACAGG